AAUGUUAGUAUUCAAUUUUUGCGACUUCUAUUGUACAACAAAUUCAAUACAAUAGAUUGAAUUGUUCAAGAACAAACUUCCAAUUCAUUGUUGGUUGAAACGAAUGAAUAGAAUCAAGGAAGGAAAGAAGGUAUUCAACAACUU
ensembl:ncRNA F40E10.10 ncRNA